rnacentral:rRNA from 1 species
UCGGGAAUUUUGGGCAAUGGGGGAAACCCUGACCCAGCAACGCCGCGUGAAGGAUGAAGUAUUUCGGUAUGUAAACUUCGAAAGAAUAGGAAGAAUAAAUGACGGUACUAUUUAUAAGGUCCGGCUAACUACGUGCCAGCAGCCGCGGUAAUACGUAGGGACCAAGCGUUGUUCGGAUUUACUGGGCGUAAAGGGCGCGUAGGCGGCAUGACAAGUCACUUGUGAAAUCUCUGGGCUUAACCCAGAACGGCCAAGUGAUACUGUCGCGCUAGAGUGCAGAAGGGGCAAUCGGAAUUCUUGGUGUAGCGGUGAAAUGCGUAGAUAUCAAGAGGAACACCUGAGGUGAAGACGGGUUGCUGGGCUGACACUGACGCUGAGGCGCGAAAGCCAGGGGAGCAAACGGGAUUAGGUACCCGAGUAGUCCCUGAGCGGGCUGGCAAGGCGCAU